GACGAACUGUCCUAACGUUGUUCGGAAUCACUGGGCUUAAAGGGCGCGUAGGCGGUCCGACAAGUCAGGGGUGAAAUCUUGCAGCUUAACUGUAAAAGUGCCUUUGAUACUGUCGGUCUUGAGGGAGAUAGGGGUGUGCGGAACUUCCAGUGGAGCGGUGAAAUGCGUUGAUAUUGGAAGGAACGCCGGAGGCGAAAGCGGCGCACUGGAUCUCUUCUGACGCUGAGGCGCGAAAGCUAGGGGAGCAAACGGGG
rnacentral:rRNA from 1 species